rnacentral:rRNA from 1 species
AGUUUGAUCAUGGCUCAGGACAACGCUGGCGGCGUGCUUAACACAUGCAAGUCGAGCGGAAAGGCUCCUUCGGGGGUACUCGAGCGGCGAACGGGUGAGUAACACGUGAGUAAUCUGCCCUUGGCUUUGGGAUAACUACCGGAAACGGUGGCUAAUACCGGAUACGACCACUCCUUGCACGAGGUGGUGGUGGAAAGUUUUUUCGGCCAGGGAUGUGCUCGCGGCCUAUCAGCUUGUUGGUGGGGUAAUGGCCUACCAAGGCUUCGACGGGUAGCCGGCCUGAGAGGGUGACCGGCCACACUGGGACUGAGACACGGCCCAGACUCCUACGGGAGGCAGCAGUGGGGAAUAUUGGACAAUGGGCGGAAGCCUGAUCCAGCAACGCCGCGUGAGGGAUGUCGGCCUUCGGGUUGUAAACCUCUUUCAGUACCGACGAAGCGCCGAUGAUGGUGGUGACGGUAGGUACAGAAGAAGCACCGGCCAACUACGUG